CACGUAGGAGGCGAGCGUAUCCGGAUUUACUGGGUGUAAAGCGCGUGCAGGCGGCGGGAUAAGUUGGAUGUGAAAGCUCCCGGCUCAACUGGGAGAGGUCGUUCAAAACUGUCCGGCUCGAGAAUGGUAGGGGAAGGUGGAAUUCCGGGUGUAGUGGUGAAAUGCGUAGAUAUCCGGAGGAACACCAGUGGCGAAGGCGGCCUUCUGGACCAUUUCUGACGCUCAGACGCGAAAGCUAGGGUAGCAAACGGG
rnacentral:rRNA from 1 species